AACUCUAGAAUAGCUAAACCAUUUAAAACGAUCUGUUGGAUUGUUCGAAACAGAGUCCAAUUCAUGUUCGAAGCCAUCCUCAACGUGAUGCCUCAAAAAAACACAGGUUACUAUUCACUUCAAGUGAAAAGUAAUAAUCACGUAAAAUCUUUAUUUUAAAUUAUUUUCGCUGAAAUUUAACGAAUAAAUUUAAAAUUAAAAUGCACACGAUAACAUUUAAAAAGAUGUCAAAAUUAUAUA
rnacentral:lncRNA from 1 species